UCCGCCUUAGCUCAGUUGGUAGAGCAAAUGACUGUUAAUCAUUGGGUCCUUGGUUCGAAUCCAAGAGGUGGAG
rnacentral:tRNA from 1 species